UACGGGGGGGGCAAGCGUUGUUCGGAAUUACUGGGCGUAAAGGGCUCGUAGGCGGCCAACUAAGUCAGACGUGAAAUCCCUCAGCUUAACUGGGGAACUGCGUCUGAUACUGGAUGGCUUGAGAUUGGGAGAGGGAUGCGGAAUUCCAGGUGUAGCGGUGAAAUGCGUAGAUAUCUGGAGGAACACCGGUGGCGAAGGCGGCAUCCUGGACCAUCACUGACGCUGAGGAGCGAAAGCCAGGGGAGCAAACGGG
rnacentral:rRNA from 1 species